rnacentral:rRNA from 1 species
UAAGUNUGAAGUUAAAGGCUGUGGCUUAACCAUANUACGCUUUGGAAACUGUUUAACUNGAGUGCAGAAGGGGAGAGUGGAAUUCCAUGUGUAGCGGUGAAAUGCGUAGAUAUAUGGAGGANCACCGGUGGCGAAAGCGGCUCUCUGGUCUGUAACUGACGCUGAGGCUNGAAAGCGUGGGGAGCGAACAGGAUUAGAUACCCUGGUAGUNCACGCCGUAAACGAUGAGUGCUAGGUGUUAGGCCCUUUCCGGGGCUUAGUGCCGCAGCUAACGCAUUAAGCACUCCGCCUGGGGAGUACGACCGCAAGGUUGAAACUCAAAGGAAUUGACGGGGGCCCGCACAAGCGGUGGAGCAUGUGGUUUAAUUCGAAGCAACGCGAAGAACCUUACCAGGUCUUGACAUCCCGAUGCCCGCUCUAGAGAUAGAGUUUUACUUCGGUACAUCGGUGACAGGUGGUGCAUGGUUGUCGUCGGCUCGUGUCGUGAGAUGUUGGGUUAAGUCACGCAACGAGCGCAACCCCUAUUGUUAGUUGCCAUCAUUCAGUUGGGCACUCCAGCGAGACUGCCGGUAAUAAACCGGAGGAAGGUGGGGAUGACGUCAAAUCAUCAUGCCCCUUAUGACCUGGGCUACACACGUGCUACAAUGGCUGGUACAACGAGUCGCAAGUCGGUGACGACAAGCUAAUCUCUUAAAGCCAGUCUCAGUUCGGAUUGUAGGCUGCAACUCGCCUACAUGAAGUCGGAAUCGCUAGUAAUCGCGGAUCAGCACGCCGCGGUGAAUACGUUCCCGGGCCUUGUACACACCGCCCGUCACACCACGAGAGUUUGUAACACCCGAAGUCGGUGAGGUAACCGUAAGGA